AAACUGAUAGCAUUAUAAUUUUCUAAUUUGUCAGACAUCCCUUUGUCGUUUAUUCCUCAUCAAAAGAUGAUUCCAUUUUCCCCAUGAGCCCAUGCUGAAAUGUAUCAUUUUCCUUGGCAAUAUGGGCUGUACAUAUUUUUGGUGCUACACAUGAUCUUGUGGCUUGGUCACUGCAGGACAGCGACCAUCGAUGAUGACCUCAACAACACUACCAUCAACCCAUUCAGUAACGUCUCAACCUGGGCCCCAGUCACAGCCUGGAAGCCGGAGGACUUUCCCAACCCCCAGGUCGACCUGGAGAGAUGUGGCAGGCAGGGACAGAGAUCCUAUGUCUGUGAUCCAAAUCAUCUCAUAUCACCCUCCGAUGCAAAUGCUUUAGAUGCUAAAAUCCAAGAGAUUCAACAGACGACUCCGUGUGCUUGUACUGAGGGAACAUGUGAAGAUCAAGGUUUUGGUUAUAUCAUCUCUAUUGCAAUAGUCCAGGAGGUGUUCAUUGAUGAAAGUGUGAAAAAUGUUGGUGAAGAGAGUCACCUCCAGGUUGAAAGGUUCGCCCAUUAUCUCAGGAAAAAGUCGUGGAAGUUUGGUACCUGUGGGAAUGAUGUUGUUGUGGUUCUGGCAGUCAACGAUAAAAAGAUCUUUACAUCCGCUGGUGAGGAUGCUGGUAGUGUCAUCUCGAGUACCUGCAUCUCAAAGGCUUUUUAUCAUGCCCGUUAUAGAUUCACCAACGGACAGUAUUAUGCAGGACUCAUGUCCACUUUAAAUGAUUAUAAAACAUACCUCAUUGAGGGAGACUGUCCAGUGAUAGAAGGGCCAAGUGUUGCAGGCAUCGUGCUCGGCUCAUUAUUUGCCUCCAUUGUUGUCAUCUGUGUCCUGUUCUGUAUAUUUGAAUGUGUCAAAAGACGUCGUGCAUCCGAAAGACGCCGAAAGAAGUUCAACAGUUUUUCUACAGGACUUGGUGUUUCUAGCAUCUCGAACCCACUGUCCUCUCCUACUAGACGAAGCUACAGUCAUGCUGGGAUGUCCCCAGAUUACCCAGGGCCUUUCCGCCCAAAUAUAACUUCUACGAAUCCUUUCUCGAGUCGUGUAGCUCGCACUGAUGAUGAUCACAAAAAUUUGCUAAAGGUUCAACCCACUCAUUCCCGUAGCUCGAGUGGCCAGCAUAGUCGGCAGAGUAGCGAUGGCCGCAGCAGUUGGAGGCUGGGAAAGAGCCAUGACGAUGUCGGCAAAAUCAGUGAUGCUUAAUUUUUGGACAAAAUUUGGUGUCGAUUGCUCCCAUUGGUUUGACAUCAUACAUUGUAGGUGAUGAAUGUAUGGGAACCAGAAAUCUCCUGUCCAAUUUUCCUUUCAAUUUGGUAUGGGGAACAGUGUGGAUCUUACUACAUAUAGUAUCAUCAAAAAGAGUUCGGUCUUUUAUUUACAUAUAUACAUUGUAUGGACAGGUAGCUUCUUGAAAUUCCAAUAGUCAUGCCAUUAAAACAGCAUUAUUCGUUCGUGUUUGUGAUAUCUAUUUGACUAACAGAUAUCCAGGCUCCCCACACUAACUUUUCAUCUCGACUCAUGAUUUUUUUUAAAAAAUGCAUUGAUAUUGAUAAUUUUCCAGAAUCUUUUGUGUGUGAGAACGAAUUCAGGAAGGGAGGGGAGGAGAUUUUGAAAUGCUGCAAAGGGUACAUGUAGCUUUGGAUCUCUUAUCUGUUUUGUUGUAGUAAUUAUGUUUUGUUGAUUUGUAAUAUAUUGAGAGAGAAAACAGAUUUUUCUUAUCACAGAAUCAAUCAAAUUUAUGUACGUAUUGUGUGCUCGGUUGAUUUAGUAUUUUGUGAUCUUGUUUUUGCUGCAUUUAUUCAUUUGUGAAGUUUAAAUGGCAAUAGCAUCAAACAAAAAUAGCUUUUAAAAGCUAACUACAUCACAUUUCAAUCUAGUUUGAGGUGUUUUAUAUUAUAAAUUGAUACCUCAAUUGAUUGCUUAAUUCACUCGUCAGAACAGUUUGUGAUAUUGGUUGUAAAAAUGUGAAUAAGAGUCGGGAAUAAGAACCAGAUGCAUCAACAAAUGAUAUGUCACAUUCUAUUUCAUGGACUGCUUACAUGUAUUUACCCCUACAUGUACACCUCUCGACUUAUAGUAAACGAUACAGGUUUGUGCAAGUGUCACAGUUCAGCCAUUUAGUAUGACUUAUCAAGCAUGUUUAGGUUACACAUAUUGUUGUUAUACAUGUAUGUAUCAUAAUAGUGCCAUUUUUGUUUCAAAGCUUUAAAUUUACAUUGGGCAGCAGUUUCAGUGUGUUUGUUGUGGUUGGAGGUUCUUCUUACUGUAAACCCCACUUUUUCCCACUUUUAAGAUGGAUGAACUAUUCCCCUUGUUGUUCCCACCGAGUUGUUUUGUAUAAACUCAAAAUUAUGACGGUUGCGUUUAAAUUCUUUCAGAGGUAAACUAAUUAGCCUAUGUCUACCAUUUGUGAAGUUGGUGUUAAAGGAUAGCUCCUGGAAUAAAUCGUUGGCAGCCUUUUUGAACGAAACCAAUGGAAAUAUAUUAAAUGAGUAUUCCUCUUUACCACAAACCUUUUGAAAGUGGAAGAAAUAUAAUAGUUCAGGGAGAAAAAUUGAUAUUAAUAGUCCCUAUUUUACUGACAUGGACAGCGCCAUUUUGAGUCAAAUUUCCCUCGGUGAUGACGCGGUGUGUGCAAUGGCAGUGAUUGGCUGAAAUUCCGAAGCACCGAUCGUGCAUAUUGUGGGCUUGUCACCGCUUUUCGCGCGUGCGCAGUGUGUGAAUCCAUGUCAAUAUCCGUUUCUUCGCGAUCUCUCUCGCAUGUCUCAAGAUUUCACGCAAUUAAAUCAUUCUAAUUUCGUUUUAUUUGGACAUUCGCGUAAUAUAUGGAUUGCUUGAAUGCAAAAUGCCUCGGUGCAUAGUCCAGUUUGGCCAUCAACAUCGGGUCCAGCUGCAUCUUCAAUAGCUUGAGCCAUAGUGUCAUUGCCGUCAAUGACUCAAGCUCCCCCUCUUCAUAUUCCGGCUCAAACUGGUAGCCCUGUACACCAACAUUUCCCCCUACAUCCAAAUCUUCAUAACUCCCGCUGCUCAUCGAAGUGUCACUGCUGUCAACGUAGCUUUCAUCAUCUGAAGCCCCCUUGAUAACAAUACAAUAACACGAUCUCAAAAUAUCAAUCGGCUGACUGCUAUUGUGACAAUACUGACAAUGUGAAUUGCACACGUGACGUCACGAUUCUCCGGUUUUGGAGGAGAGAUCGCGAAAAAAGUGAGAAAAUGGCGCCCUCCAUGAACUCUGUGUUUAGUGGAUUUAAAACACCUUUAUUGGUACAAACGCAAAUUUUUGAGCGAUAUACAGUCCUAUAUUGGAAUAAUAAUGAUAUACGAAAUAUGCAGAGUCAAGUCUCACCAAUGCUGUUCAUGAACACAGACAAAGACUUCUCUCGGUAACUAUACAGGAUGGUCCUGGAGCCCGUCCUCUGCUUACAUGUAAUUGAAUAGCUUUCAAUCCAAAGAGUCAAAUGCCGGACCAUUGAGGGCCUGUCAGAACUGAACAACCAGUGCAUUACAGGAUCAUUGAAGGCAUGUCACCAUUGAAUGACCAGUUGAUUGGUAGGACAACUGAGGGACAGUGUCGCAACUGGGUAGAUGAUUGCAGGACCACCAAGGGACAAUGGACACUGAAAGUCCAGUUGACUGAAGAACCAUUAAGGGACAGCAUCUCGACGUUUCCUGAUCACUGAAGAUGCCAUUUUAGAUGUAAGAUUUACAUGUUGACCACGUUGCAGUGACAGUACAGGAGUGAUGUUGGCAAAGACACGAUCUGCAUGUGGUGCACUCAGUUGGCAGGCCGGGUCAGGGACAUGGAUUGAACACAAACCCUGAAUGAAGGUUGUUGAGUCGAAUGUGAGAACAAGAAUUGCCUGACCAUUGAGGGCCUGUCACAACUGAACAACCAGUUCAUUACAGGAUCAUUGAUACCUCAAUUGAUUGCUUAAUUCACUCAUCAGAACAGUUUGUGAUAUUGGUUGUAAAAAGUAGCAUGAUUGAAUAAGAGUCAGGAAUAAGAACCAGACGCAUCAACAAAUGAUAUGUCACAUUCUAUUUCAUGGACUGCUUGCAUGUAUUUACCCCUACAUGUACACCUCUCGACUUAUAGUAAACGAUGCAGUUUUGUGCAAGUGUCACAGUUCAGCCAUUUAGUAUGACUUUAUCAAGCAUGUUUAGGUUACACAUAUUGGGUGAUAUGAAUAAAGACUAGCAAAUGCUUUUACUUCAAGUUUGUACAGAAAGGCCUAGAUAAAAUGUACAUGGAGUUUUAGAUAAAAGCAUUUGCUAGUCUUUAUUCAUAUCACCCAUUGUUGUUAUACAUGUAUGUAUCAUAAUAGUGCCAUUUUUGUUUCAAAGCUUUAAAUUUACAUUGGGCAGCAGUUUCAGUGUGUUUGUUGUGGUUGGAGGUUCUUCUUACUGUAAACCCCACUUUUUCCCACUUUUAAGAUGGUUGAACUAUUCCCCUUGUUGUUCCCACCGAGUUGUUUUGUAUAAACUCAAAAUUAUGACAGUUGCGUUUAAAUUCUUUCAGAGGUAAACUAAUUAUGUCUACCAUUUGUGAAGUUGGUGUUAACUUCAUAGUAAUUGGAAACGUUAGAUAUUUGUAAGAUGCCUUGAAUUGGUUAGUUGUCUUCAUCGUAAACAUUUAUGUAUAUAUUGUACAUAAACACUGGUACAUUAGUGUCUUGGUGUCCAACAUCACUUUUGGAAUAAAUGCUUUUGAAAAUGGA